GGCUCAGAUUGAACGUGGGCGGUGCGCUUUAUGCAUGCAAGUCGAACGGGGUUAUGGUUUUCGGAUUGUAACCUAGUGGCAAACGGCUGAAUAACACGUAAGUAACCCGCCUUGGAGUGGGAAACAACCUGCCGAAAGGCGAGCUAAUGUCCCAUGUGGUGAUGAAGCGCAGGCUUCAUUACUAAAGCUUUCGGGUGCUCCAAGAGGGGCUUGCGUCUGAUUAGCUAGUUGGUACGGUAACGGCCUACCAAGGCGAUGAUCAGUAGCUGGUCUGAGAGGAUGGCCAGCCAGAUGGGGACUGAGACACGGCCCCAACUCCUACGGGAGGCAGCAGCAAGGAAUUUUGGGCAAUGGGCGAAAGCCUGACCCAGCGACACCGCGUGAGGGAAUAAGGCCUUCGGGUUGUAAACCUCUUUUCCUGGGGAAGAAUCUCGACGGUACCCAGGGAAUAAGCCUCGGCCAACUACGUGCCAGCAGCCGCGGUAAUACGUAGGAGGCGAACGUUAUUCGGAUUUACUGGGCGUAAAGGGAGCGUAGGCGGUUCCUUAAGUCGGAUGUGAAAUCUUCUGGCUCAAUCGGAAGGCGCCAUUUGAUACUGAGGGACUUGAGAGCAGCAGAGGGAAAUGGAAUCUGCAGUGUAGCGGUGAAAUGCGUAGAUAUUGCAGAGAACACCAGUGGCGAAGGCGGUUUUCCAGGCUGUUUCUGACGCUGAGGCUCGAAAGCGUGGGGAGCGAAGCGGAUUAGAUACCCGCGUAGUCCACGCCCUAAACGGUGGACACUAGAUAUAGGAGGUAUCGACCCUUUCUGUGUCGAAGCUAACGCUUUAAGUGUCCCGCCUGGGGAGUACGGCCGCAAGGCUGAAACUCAAAGGAAUUGACGG
rnacentral:rRNA from 1 species